rnacentral:misc_RNA from 2 species
AGCAGCCGCGGUAAUUCCAGCUCCAAUAGCGUAUAUUAAAGUUGUUGCAGUUAAAAAGCUCGUAGUUGAAUUUUGGAUUCUUCCAAUUGGUCCAUCUUUUAGAUGAGUACUGGUUGUGUGGGGUCUAUCCGCCUGGUGAUACGUAAUGUCCUUUAUUGGAUGUUGCGGGUAGUCAGGACCUUUACCUUGAAAAAAUUAGAGUGUUUAAAGCAGGCUUAUGCCGGAAUACAUUAGCAUGGAAUAAUAGAAUAGGACGAAGUUGUUUUAUUUUGUUGGUUUCUAGGACAACCGUAAUGAUUAAUAGGGAUAGUUGGGGGCAUCAGUAUUCAAUUGUCAGAGGUGAAAUUCUUGGAUUUAUUGAAGACUAACUACUGCGAAAGCAUUUGCCAAGGAUGUUUUCAUUAAUCAAGAACGAAAGUUAGGGGAUCGAAGACGAUCAGAUACCGUCGUAGUCUUAACCAUAAACUAUGCCGACUAGGGAUCGGGCGAUGUUGUUUCCAUGACUCGCUCGGCACCUUAU